UCAGACGAUGCGUCAUGCAUAUCAAUAAGCGGAGGAAAAGAAACUAACAAGGAUUCCCUCAGUAACGGCGAGUGAAGCGGGAAGAGCUCAAAUUUGAAAUCUUCAAGGUUUUACCUUGACGAAUUGUAGUUUAAAGAAGUGUUUUCUGCUGAAGUUUUGGUAAAAGUUCUUUGGAAUAGGACAUCAUAGAGGGUGAGAAUCCCGUAUUUGACCAUUAUUUUCAGCUUUGUGAUACACUUUCAAAGAGUCGGAUUGUUUGGGAAUGCAGUCCAAAAUGGGUGGUAAAUUUCAUCUAAAGCUAAAUAUUGGCGAGAGACCGAUAGCGAACAAGUACCGUGAGGGAAAGAUGAAAAGAACUUUGAAAAGAGAGUUAAACAGUACGUGAAAUUGUCAAAAGGGAAGCGUUUGACACCAGUGUUGUUUUCUCGAAAAUCAAUUAAAAAUGGCUCGAUUUUGUAUUGCUUGAGACCUUAAAAGCUCACUGUACAUUUUUCGUGUCUUUUUUAAUGCACUUUUCGUUUAACAAGUCAACAUCAGUUUCUUUUGUUGUAAAAGGGUCAUUGGAAGGUGGCUUUCUUUUCGGAGAAAGUGUUUAUAGCCUUUGGCCUCUGCAAUCGGAGAGACUGAGGUCUGCAGCGUAGACUCUUCGGGGUUAGAUACAUUUGUGCUAAGUUAUAGCUUUUUAUAGACAACUUGUUGACUAUAAUUAGUCUUGUAGCUUACUCGCUUAUGCUAUUUUACCUACGCUUAGGAUGUUGACUGAUAUGUAGUCGUA
rnacentral:rRNA from 1 species